GACGAACGCUGGCGGCGUGCCUAAUACAUGCAAGUCGAGCGAGCGGAACUAACAGAUUUACUUCGGUAAUGACGUUAGGAAAGCGAGCGGCGGAUGGGUGAGUAACACGUGGGGAACCUGCCCCAUAGUCUGGGAUACCACUUGGAAACAGGUGCUAAUACCGGAUAAGAAAGCAGAUCGCAUGAUCAGCUUUUAAAAGGCGGCGUAAGCUGUCGCUAUGGGAUGGCCCCGCGGUGCAUUAGCUAGUUGGUAAGGUAAAGGCUUACCAAGGCGAUGAUGCAUAGCCGAGUUGAGAGACUGAUCGGCCACAUUGGGACUGAGACACGGCCCAAACUCCUACGGGAGGCAGCAGUAGGGAAUCUUCCACAAUGGACGCAAGUCUGAUGGAGCAACGCCGCGUGAGUGAAGAAGGUUUUCGGAUCGUAAAGCUCUGUUGUUGGUGAAGAAGGAUAGAGGUAGUAACUGGCCUUUAUUUGACGGUAAUCAACCAGAAAGUCACGGCUAACUACGUGCCAGCAGCCGCGGUAAUACGUAGGUGGCAAGCGUUGUCCGAAUUUAUUGGGCGUAAAGCGAGCGCAGGCGGAAGAAUAAGUCUGAUGUGAAAGCCCUCGGCUUAACCGAGGAACUGCAUCGGAAACUGUUUUUCUUGGGUGCAGAAGAGGAGAGUGGAACUCCAUGUGUAGCGGUGGAAUGCGUAGAUAUAUGGAAGAACACCAGUGGCGAAGGCGGCUCUCUGGUCUGCAACUGACGCUGAGGCUCGAAAGCAUGGGUAGCGAACAGG
rnacentral:rRNA from 1 species